rnacentral:rRNA from 1 species
AAUAGAUACCCCGGUAGUCCACGCUGUAAACGAUGAGGACUAAAUGUUGGUAGGGGAACCUAUCGGUAUUGAAGCUAACGCGAUAAGUCUUCCGCCUGGGAAGUACGGCCGCAAGGUUGAAACUCAAAUGAAUUGACGGGGGGCCCGCACAAGCGGUGGAGCAUGUGGUUUAAUUCGAUGCAACGCGAAGAACCUUACCUACCCUUGACAUCCUGCGAAUCCCGAUGAGAGUUGGGAGUGCCGCAAGGAGCGCAGAGACAGGUGCUGCAUGGCUGUCGUCAGCUCGUGUUGCGAGAUGUUGGGUUAAGUCCCGUAACGAGCGCAACCCUUGUCCUUAGUUGCCAGCAUUAAGUUGGGGACUCUAAGGAGACUGCCGGUGAGGAACCGGAGGAAGGCGGGGACGGACGUCAAGUCAUCAUGGCCUUUAUGGGUAGGGCUACACACGUGCUACAAUGGGGCGUACAGAGGGUCGCGAACCCGCGAGGGGGAGCCAAUCUCAUAAAGCGUCUCGUAGUCCGGUAUUGGAGUCGUGCAACUCGACUCC